UAUUUACCUUUUUGAGUGCUUGUGACUGGCC
rnacentral:piRNA from 1 species